rnacentral:rRNA from 1 species
UAGGGAAUCUUCGGCAAUGGGGGCAACCCUGACCGAGCAACGCCGCUUGAGUGAAGAAGGUUUUCGGAUCGUAAUGCUCUGUUGUAAGAGAAGAACGUGUGUGAGAGUGGAAAGUUCACACAGUGACGGUAACUUACCAGAAAGGGACGGCUAACUACGUGCCAGCAGCCGCGGUAAUACGUAGGUCCCGAGCGUUGUCCGGAUUUAUUGGUCGUAAAGCGAGCGCAGGCGGUUUAAUAAGUCUGAAGUUAAAGGCAGUGGCUUAACCAUUGUUCGCUUUGGAAACUGUUAAACUUGAGUGCAGAAGGGGAGAGUGGAAUUCCAUGUGUAGCGGUGAAAUGCGUAGAUAUAUGGAGGAACACCGGUGGCGAAAGCGGCUCUCUGGUCUGUAACUGACGCUGAGGCUCGAAAGCGUGGGGAGCAAACAGG